CGAAAAUAAUGUUUAUUUUCCUUCUUGUAGUACUCUGGUGUGUGUGUCUGAAGUCACCACGUGCAUUUGAGCUAGCACCGAGAUACAAUCCAAGAGCUACCACUGCAGUUAUUCAUGUACCGGAGGUUCCCAUUUGAGAGGGUGUGUAAAGUGCAUAAAUAACCGUCGUGGUGACGUGAGUCCCGGUGCAACACGACGAGGAGUCCUGCCUGGAGUUGCUGUUGAGGACCAGUGACCAGGUGGCUGAGAUCCGAAGUUCACCGAGGAGGAAGAAGGUCGCUCCCGGAGAAGAAGAAGCGUUCAUCAGUCCCACCUCAACCUGCAGGCUUUCAAGUGACUGGAGUGGAGCUAAGUUGGCACAGACACGGUCACCAUGUCGGACAGAGACGUUGAGGAAGAGCAGAACUUCGAGAAGAGACUGAUUCUUUAGAACAAUGACAGGCACAGUUUGUCGAACUGAGCGAGAGCCAUGACAAAGCCAUGGAAGCUAUUGAUGCAUUAAAUAAGGGUUAGAAUAGGUCAUAUGUCUAUGUACCAAGAGAGCACCAGAUCCAGCCCUUUAGUGGCGAUGCAGCCAAAGAUGGUCGCUCUAUUGAUGAGUUUAUUGAGGCUGUAGACCAGGGGUGGGCAAACCUGUUGACCUGCAGGCCACAAUCGGUUAAAAAAUUUGACAGCCGGGCCGGGCCAGGAGCAUUUGGACACACAAUGUAAUUUAUCAAACCUGGAGAUUGCGUCUGUUUUUUAUACAUUUCAAUUGAAGGUGCAAAGUUAAAGAAAUCAACAUUUACUGGAGAAAGAUCAAUAGAAUCACUUUCAACAUUCAAAACAUAUUAUUACGAAAUACUCAAGCUCAAUAAUUUUUAUUUGUUUUAAACCCCGCAAAAUAAUUGACGGAUUGUCUUGAGAGAUUUUCUGUAAUAUCCUGCAGCAGAAACUAGAAAGGGGUCUUUAAAUUGAGGCGAUGUGCGGCGUCAUCUGUCCAGCAUGUGUAUGAACCCGUCACAAACAGACUGACAGCGCUUUACUUGCCUGAGUUUACUUAGCUGACUAUUUGAGGGUUAAACGUGUGAUACGCGUCGGUGAGGGGGCGGGGCUUAUCUCCGUGGAAAAAUAUUUUCCGCCAUCCGCCAAGGAAUAUAUAUAUAUGUAUUGCCUCUUCUUUCCAGAGCACCAGGAUGAGCCGACCGUGUCCUUUCCCUCCCUAAUCUACCCUCUCCUGUAAGGUUGGCAGAGCUGUGGUUUCUGUUAAGC